AAAGCUGAUUCCAGCUACAGGUUCAUACUGUUGUAUUCUUUUAUACUGUUUCAUUCGUACUGUUUUAAAUCAUUCAGUAAAUGCAAAGUUAAACCGUCGUGUUUUUCAUCUAGAUUUAAAAGUGUCUACCGUUGAAACACAUCUGAUCUCUUCUGAAAGCUGAUUCCAGCUCCAGGUGGCAUAUUAACUGAAUGCUGAUGCACCUUGUAUUUCGAUUGCUUUGUAUGCUUGAAACAUGUGAAGAAUUGACAAUAAAUAAUCUUUAUCAAGUGUUAUACAUUAAAAAGUGGAUAAGUAACAAAAAUGUCACUCCUGACAGCUGAUAAAUUAAUGUUUUUUUAUAGCACCAUUGAGGCGAGCACUUUUCAAGGCAAGAUUCUUUAUAGAACCUUAUAAAAAGUUUCCAUAUAGUACCAAAAAACGGGUUCUGCUGUGGUUACAUGCUGAGGAACCCUUAUUUGGUACUUUUUAGGAGCAUUUGUCUUAAGAGUGUUGCAUAGGUUCGAAACUUUCAAACUUGAAACCAAAUAGAAGGGUCACACUGUUUUUUUUUUGUGGAGUGGACAUGAACAAGCUGCAGGCAUUCAAAUGUUAUUUGUAAUUUAUUGUCUUAUUUCAUAUUUAAAAAAUAGCUAUACAACUGGUGUUCCUCAAUUUUAGGGCCUAUUUUGUUUAGUAUAUCAGUUUUGUUCAGUUUUUUAUGUGCAUGCAAAAAGCAAUCAGCAAGCAAAUUAACUGAAGCUUUACCUUCAUGUUCUUUUUGUGUAAGUGAUAACUGUUUCUGUAUGUAUUUUAUGUAUUUGUAUGUUUUUUACACGUAUAGAGUGAAAUGCACACGGUGAGGAAUGGACCCAGACCUUCAGUGCCAGACCUCUGACCCGUUAACCUCCAUCCCGACAGCCAGCGCCUUCUCCGGCUCCCAUUGCGGUAUCGCUUCUCGGCUUUUUGGACAAGAACAAGUGGACACCGGGGACUACAAGUUUAAAUGGAUUUUUGACCUUCGGAAAUGGAAGCGAGGCUUGCUCCGUCCACUCCGUUCAUCGACUCGGGCGCUUUCCGGGCACAAAUAAGUUUGCGGAGGUGAUACCAGGACGAAUUAAACAGCCUCGACACAGCUGAAGGCGCAAGAAAAUCGUACGAGACAGUUUGGGAUGUUAAAAACACCUGAAAACUUUUUUUCCACUACCCUUCAUACUACAGCGGUCGAAAAACCACAGCAACGUCGACACGCCUGGAAGCAUAGCUGUAUUUGUUUAAGACAACGGGUAAAGUAUUUUCUUGAUUACCUAAAUGACUUGCAGUAAGAAAAUAUUUUAAUUUAUAAUGAUAACUCUGUCAUCAUUUAUUCAUCCUCGUGUUGUUUUCAACCUGUAUGCAUUCGUAUUUUGGAGGUGACACGAUGACGACUUAAACAUCAUCGACACAGCUGAAAAAGCGAACGAGACAGAUUGGGAUGUUCAAAACACCUGAAAACUUUUUUUUCACUGUACUACAGCUGUCGAAGAACCACAGCAACGUCGGCAGAUCUGGAAGCAUAGCUGUAUUUGUUUAACUCACAACGACAACGGGUAAGUCAUUGAGCCCUUGUGUUUUUAUUUAUCCACGUUCUAAAAUUGCUAUGCUUUCGUUGUUUCUCGAUUGCUCUGUACAUUUCUUUGUUUCUAUUCCACGUAAAGUUACUUUGUAAUAACGAAACGAUAUAUUGAAAUGCGCUAUUUAAAUCCAUUUGAUUUAAAUUGUUUCACGUUUUUCUCUCUGCACGGUUUAACCGGGCUGGAAACGGAAAAUGGGUAGAUCUCGAAGAAUAUUUGGUUUCAGACCUGGCUUCGUGCGCCUUUCCACCUGGUCACACACAGUAAUGAAAUGGUAGUCGGACGGCCUUCGGGGGCGCCGUCGAUGUGAUCGGUCACAGGAAGAUGCGGCCGUCUGGCCUCAAAGGCUGUUGCUCAUACUUACCUGGCAGGGGAGAUACCAUGAUCAUGAAGGUGGUUCACCCAGGGCGAGGCUCAGCCAUUGCACUCCGGUUGUGCUGACCCUUUGCGAAUUCCCCAAAUGUGGGAAUCUCGACUGCAAAAUUUCUGAUAGUGGGGGACUGCGUUCGCGCUCUCCCCUGGC